rnacentral:rRNA from 1 species
CCUACGGGAGGCAGCAGUGAGGAAUAUUGGUCAAUGGACGAGAGUCUGAACCAGCCAAGUAGUGUGAAGGAUGACUGCCCUAUGGGUUGUAAACUUCUUUUAUAUGGGAAUAAAAUGUUCCACGUGUGGGAUUUUGUAUGUACCAUAUGAAUAAGGAUCGGCUAACUCCGUGCCAGCAGCCGCGGUAAUACGGAGGAUCCGAGCGUUAUCCGGAUUUAUUGGGUUUAAAGGGAGCGUAGGUGGAUUGUUAAGUCAGUUGUGAAAGUUUGCGGCUCAACCGUAAAAUUGCAGUUGAAACUGGCAGUCUUGAGUACAGUAGAGGUGGGCGGAAUUCGUGGUGUAGCGGUGAAAUGCUUAGAGAUCACGAAGAACUCCGAUUGCGAAGGCAGUUCACUGGACUGCAACUGACACUGAGGCUCGAAAGUGUGGGUAUCAAACAGGAUUAGAUACCCCGGUAGUC